UACGUAGGGUGCGAGCGUUGUCCGGAAUUAUUGGGCGUAAAGAGCUUGUAGGCGGUUUGUCGCGUCUGCCGUGAAAAUCCGGGGCUCAACCCCGGACUUGCGGUGGGUACGGGCAGACUAGAGUGUGGUAGGGGGAGACUGGAAUUCCUGGUGUAGCGGUGAAAUGCGCAGAUAUCAGGAGGAACACCGAUGGCGAAGGCAGGUCUCUGGGCAGUAACUGACGCUGAGGAGCGAAAGCGUGGGGAGCGAACAGG
rnacentral:rRNA from 1 species